rnacentral:rRNA from 1 species
AUGCUCAAAAUGGAUGAUAGUGAUGAAGAAGGAAGAAACCAUGACAAGCUCGACGGAACCAAGAAGGGAAAAGAAAGGAUGAAGAUGGAAGCGGAGGCAUCAAGCUUGAGGGAAAAGAUUGAUCAAAUGAUCAAGUCAAAGGAGACAUUGACAACGAAGGCAUUGGAGACAAAGCUUAUUAUCACCGAGAGAAAGAAAGAGGUGAAACUUGCACAAUUGGAAGCAAGGCGAGAAGAUGCCAAGCGCAAGGCCGACAUGGAGGAGAGGAUGAUCAAGCUCAAGGAAGCAAAAGCAUGGAAGGAGCUCAUGGCCGAGGAGAAGGAGCACAUGAUGAUGUCUAGAAAGGACAUGGAUGAAGAGCAAUUGGCGUGGUGGAAGGAGUACAAGGAGAACAUUGCAGACAAGAAGAGGCUAUUGCGUGGUGGCGGUGGUGGUGGUGCAUCGUCUACUCUCCGAGGUGAGUCUCCGAUGAGUGGUGGAGGAGAUGGAGGUGUGGACAACUUCACCGGUGCUUGA